rnacentral:ncRNA from 2 species
GAAACGCACUAGGGGUGUGAAAACUGAGAUGAGGUAUUCACCUCAAACCCUUUGAACCUGAACUAGAUGAUACUAGCGUAGGAAAGUGUGAUGACAACUCA